CCUACGGGUGGCAGCAGUGAGGAAUAUUGGUCAAUGGGCGAGAGCCUGAACCAGCCAAGUCGCGUGAGGGAGUACUGCCCUAUGGGUUGUAAACCUCUUUUGUCGGGGAGCAAAAGCCGGACGUGUCCGGCUGUGAGAGUACCCGAAGAAAAAGCAUCGGCUAACUCCGUGCCAGCAGCCGCGGUAAUACGGAGGAUGCGAGCGUUAUCCGGAUUUAUUGGGUUUAAAGGGGGCGCAGGAGGAUUUUUAAGUCAGCGGUAAAAUCGUGGGGCUCAACCCCAUCCAGCCGUUGAAACUGGGGAUCUAGAGUGUGCGAGAGGUAUGCGGAAUGCGUGGUGUAGCGGUGAAAUGCAUAGAUAUCACGCAGAACCCCGAUUGCGAAGGCAGCAUACCGGUGCACAACUGACGCUCAGGCACGAAAGCGUGGGUAUCGAACAGGAUUAGAUACCCCUGUAGUC
rnacentral:rRNA from 1 species